GAUGAGUUCAAGUACCAAUUCAUUUGGUACAUUGUUUGUCGAAGUGAUGGAACUCGUCAAGUGUCUGCUCCUCGUAAUAAUUUUCAACUAUGUCUCAACCGAGCCCUCAUCGCAUUCUGACCAGCAUGAAGAUGCUUUUCACAGUAUUUUGGAAACACUGAAGUUAAACGACACGUUACGAUUACAAGAUGUGAACGUUAUUCUAACGAGGCUUGGAAUACAUGAUUGCUCAAACGCUACCAAACAUAAG
rnacentral:lncRNA from 1 species